UACGUAGGUGGCAAGCGUUGUCCGGAAUUAUUGGGCGUAAAGCGCGCGCAGGCUGUCUCUUAAGUCUGAUGUGAAAGCCCACGGCUCAACCGUGGAGGGUCAUUGGAAACUGGGAGACUUGAGUGCAGAAGAGGAGAGCGGAAUUCCACGUGUAGCGGUGAAAUGCGUAGAGAUUAGGAAGAACACCAGUGGCGAAGGCGACUUACUGGACUGUAACUGACGCUGAGGCAUGAAAGCGUGGGGAGCAAACAGG
rnacentral:rRNA from 1 species